rnacentral:rRNA from 1 species
CAGCAGCCGCGGUAACACGUAGGGUGCAAGCGUUAAUCGGAAUUACUGGGCGUAAAGCGUGCGCAGGCGGUUUUGUAAGACAGAGGUGAAAUCCCCGGGCUCAACCUGGGAACUGCCUUUGUGACUGCAAGGCUAGAGUACGGCAGAGGGGGAUGGAAUUCCGCGUGUAGCAGUGAAAUGCGUAGAUAUGCGGAGGAACACCGAUGGCGAAGGCAAUCCCCUGGGCCUGUACUGACGCUCAUGCACGAAAGCGUGGGGAGCAAACAGGAUUAGAUACCCCCGUAGUCCCUGUCUCUUAUAA